UGUGAGUGAGCAUAAUAUAAUUUAGAUGAAUCAGAAAAGACUUCCUUAAGAAUAGGAAGUGGGUUGAGAUCUGCACAAAGGUAAGAUUUAGCUAGGCAAAGACAUGCAACAACGGGAGCAGCAUGCAGCCAGUGGACCAUCUGACUUCAAGGACAUACCUGAAAAACAGACUGGAGUAGCUGGGAUGAGAGAGCGAAAGGAAAGGCAAUAGGAGAUAAGACUAAGAAACAUGAAGGAUCAUGAGAGACUACUACAAGCAACUAUACAGUAAUAAAAAGGACAACCUGGAAGAAAUGGACAAAUUCUUAGAAAGGUACAAUUUUCCAAGGCUAAAACAGGAACAAAUAGAACAUCUGAACCAAUCACAAGUACUGAAAUUGAAACUGUGAUUUAAAAACUUCCAACAAACAAAAGUCCAGGCUUACAGGCAACUUCUGUCAAAUAUUUAAAGAAGAGCUAACACCUGUCUUUCUCAAACCAUUCUAAAAAAUUGCAAAGUAAGGAAUACUCCCAAGCUCAUUCUAUGAGGCCAGACACUAUAGAAACUGAAACCAGACAAAGGUAUCACACGAAACUAUUAUAGGCCAAUAUUGCUGACUAACAGAUAUGAAAAUCCCUAUGGCAUGAGGAAAAGAGGGAUUUGAUUAUAAAGUCCUUUUACACAUUAUGUAAUAUGAGAUCAUUGAGAUUAAAUAUA
ensembl:lncRNA